AGAGUUUGAUCCUGGCUCAGGACGAACGCUGGCGGCGUGCUUAACACAUGCAAGUCAUGGGGGCCCAGCAAUGGGCAACCGGCGGACGGGUGCGUAACACGUGAGCGACCUACCGAGACGCGGGGGAUAGCCGGCCCAACGGCCGGGUAAUACCGCAUACGUUCUUUGGGUUUCAUGGCCUGAAGAGGAAACCUUCGCAAGAGGGGCAUUUCGAGGGGCUCGCGGCCUAUCAGCUAGUUGGUGCGGUAAUGGCGCACCAAGGCGACGACGGGUAGCUGGUCUGAGAGGAUGGCCAGCCACAUUGGGACUGAGAGACGGCCCAGACUCCUACGGGAGGCAGCAGUGGGGAAUCUUGCGCAAUGGCCGAAAGGCUGACGCAGCGACGCCGCGUGUGGGAGGACGCCCUUCGGGGUGUAAACCACUGUUGCCCGGGACGAAUGGCCUGUUUGAGCGGGCUUGACGGUACCGGGUGAGGAAGCGCCGGCUAACUCCGUGCCAGCAGCCGCGGUAAUACGGAGGGCGCGAGCGUUGUCCGGAAUCACUGGGCGUAAAGGGCGCGUAGGCGGCGCGAUAAGGCUUGCGUGAAAGUCCGGGGCUCAACCCCGGAUCGGCGCGGGCGACUGUCGGGCUGGAGCACGGUAGGGGCAGACGGAAUUCCGGGUGUAGCGGUGGAAUGCGUAGAGAUCCGGAAGAACACCGGUGGCGAAGGCGGUCUGCUGGGCCGGAAUGGGGAGUUGGUCUAACGACGAAUUCUCCAGUGCUGACGCUGAGGCGCGACAGCGUGGGGAGCAAACAGGAUUAGAUACCCCCGUAGUCC
rnacentral:rRNA from 1 species